GUGCGCGUGUCCCGCUCUCCUCCCCUGUGCGGCGGAUGAGGGGGGCACGGGGCGCACAUUCCCCCUCCGCUCACAUGUGUUACCCGGGCAACCAUCCAAUAAUGAGCAUAUAAACGCCUCAACAAGGCUAGGUGUCACCGCGCAUCCUCUUCUUUGUGUCCGGAGCAAGUACCAGCUGAAAGCGGCUCUGUCCCUGCUUGUGCCAGCCACUGCAUGCACGUAGCUCGUGAAUAGUGAUGUACCAGGGACAGCCCUGACCGGUGACAUGCCACGGCUGCUGGGGGGCGAAGUAAGCUCUUUGCCGUGAUAUUGUUGUAUAUCACAGGGACAUGGGUGUGCUACAGGCCGCACACUGAGUGCAGAUGGAGGCAGGGAAAUGAGUAGCGCUGCUGCAGUGCAUGGGCUGCGGGAGAGAUGCUGUCAGUUAUCGUGAUCUCUUGUAGCUACAUUUUGAAAAUUGCCGAAAUAUUAAAAUGGAAAUGCGCUAACUAAUGAAGAGUGGUCCAAAAUUGGUACAGUAAAGGGAUACAGUUAAGAUGCCGACGGCAGAAUACCAACAGCCAUCAGAAUGCCAAUGCUGGAAUCCCAACAGGGUCAGGAGACUGAUGUAGGAAUCUUGACAGCUGGCAUCCCAACUAGUGGGAGAUUGUGGAUUACAUUUGGAAACCCUCAUCCAGAAAUACUGCGUUUGCCACUGAACCGUAUUAUCAGACCUUAUCGCAUCCCACUUUGCAGAAUCACUGGAGAAGCGGGCGGGAUUCAGGAUGAAUUUGUACAUUCCUGGAAGUUGGGAGACCUCCCUCAAAUUUGGGAUUCAACAAUGAAAUUCUAGGGAAGUAUGGUUUUGUACCCCGGUACGCAGUUACUAAGGACAUGUGAUGGCUCCAGUGGGCCUCUAUAUUCUUUUCUGGGCGGCAGCUUCACUUGCAAUGAUUAGUAGUUCUAUAGCCUGUAAAAUCGCAGCUGCAUAGACGUGUGUACAAACAUGAAUUAGGCCCAUUGUUCAAUAAAAAUUAAGCUUUAACAUAG